rnacentral:rRNA from 1 species
GACGAACGCUGGCGGCGUGCUUAACACAUGCAAGUCGAACGGUGAAGCGCCUUCCUUUUUGGUGGGUGUGGAUGAGUGGCGAACGGGUGAGUAACACGUGAGUAACCUGCCCCCUUCUUCUGGAUAAUCGCAUGAAAGUGUGGCUAAUACGGGAUAUUCUGGGUCUGUCGCAUGAUGGGUCUGGGAAAGAUAUUGUUUCGGUGGGGGAUGGGCUCGCGGCCUAUCAGCUUGUUGGUGGGGUGAUGGCCUACCAAGGCGGUGACGGGUAGCCGGCCUGAGAGGGUGGACGGUCACACUGGGACUGAGACACGGCCCAGACUCAUACGGGAGGCAGCAGUGGGGAAUAUUGCACAAUGGGCGCAAGCCUGAUGCAGCGACGCCGCGUGAGGGAUGGAGGCCUUCGGGUUGUGAACCUCUUUCGCCAGUGAAGCAGGCCUGCCUCGUUUGUGGGUGGGUUGACGGUAGCUGGAUAAGAAGCGCCGGCUAACUACGUG